rnacentral:rRNA from 1 species
GACGAACGCUGGCGGCGUGCCUAAUACAUGCAAGUAGAACGCUGAAGAGAGGAGCUUGCUCUUCUUGGAUGAGUUGCGAACGGGUGAGUAACGCGUAGGUAACCUGCCUUGUAGCGGGGGGAUAACUAUUGGAAACGAUAGCUAAUACCGCAUAACAAUGGAUGACACAUGUCAUUUAUUUGAAAGGGGCAAUUGCUCCACUACAAGAUGGACCUGCGUUGUAUUAGCUAGUAGGUGAGGUAAUGGCUCACCUAGGCGACGAUACAUAGCCGACCUGAGAGGGUGAUCGGCCACACUGGGACUGAGACACGGCCCAGACUCCUACGGGAGGCAGCAGUAGGGAAUCUUCGGCAAUGGGGGCAACCCUGACCGAGCAACGCCGCGUGAGUGAAGAAGGUUUUCGGAUCGUAAAGCUCUGUUGUAAGUCAAGAACGGGUGUGAGAGUGGAAAGUUCACACUGUGACGGUAGCUUACCAGAAAGGGACGGCUAACUACGUGCCAGCAGCCGCGGUAAUACGUAGGUCCCGAGCGUUGUCCGGAUUUAUUGGGCGUAAAGCGAGCGCAGGCGGUUUGAUAAGUCUGAAAGUAAAGGCUGUGGCUCAACCAUAGUUCGCUUUGGAAACUGUCAAACUUGAGUGCAGAAGGGGAGAGUGGAAUUCCAUGUGUAGCGGUGAAAUGCGUAGAUAUAUGGAGGAACACCGGUGGCGAAAGCGGCUCUCUGGUCUGUAACUGACGCUGAGGCUCGAAAGCGUGGGGAGCGAACAGGAUUAGAUACCCUGGUAGUCCACGCCGUAAACGAUGAGUGCUAGGUGUUGGAUCCUUUCCGGGAUUCAGUGCCGCAGCUAACGCAUUAAGCACUCCGCCUGGGGAGUACGACCGCAAGGUUGAAACUCAAAGGAAUUGACGGGGGCCCGCACAAGCGGUGGAGCAUGUGGUUUAAUUCGAAGCAACGCGAAGAACCUUACCAGGUCUUGACAUCCCGAUGCUAUUUCUAGAGAUAGAAAGUUACUUCGGUACAUCGGUGACAGGUGGUGCAUGGUUGUCGUCAGCUCGUGUCGUGAGAUGUUGGGUUAAGUCCCGCAACGAGCGCAACCCCUAUUGUUAGUUGCCAUCAUUCAGUUGGGCACUCUAGCGAGACUGCCGGUAAUAAACCGGAGGAAGGUGGGGAUGACGUCAAAUCAUCAUGCCCCUUAUGACCUGGGCUACACACGUGCUACAAUGGUUGGUACAACGAGUUGCGAGUCGGUGACGGCGAGCUAAUCUCUUAAAGCCAAUCUCAGUUCGGAUUGUAGGCUGCAACUCGCCUACAUGAAGUCGGAAUCGCUAGUAAUCGCGGAUCAGCACGCCGCGGUGAAUACGUUCCCGGGCCU